AGUGAACGCUGGCGGUAGGCCUAACACAUGCAAGUCGAACGGCAGCACAGGAGAGCUUGCUCUCUGGGUGGCGAGUGGCGGACGGGUGAGGAAUACAUCGGAAUCUGCCCAGUCGUGGGGGAUAACGUAGGGAAACUUACGCUAAUACCGCAUACGACCUUCGGGUGAAAGAGGGGGAUCGCAAGACCUCUCGCGAUUGGAUGAGCCGAUGUCGGAUUAGCUAGUUGGCGGGGUAAUGGCCCACCAAGGCGACGAUCCGUAGCUGGUCUGAGAGGAUGAUCAGCCACACUGGAACUGAGACACGGUCCAGACUCCUACGGGAGGCAGCAGUGGUGAAUAUUGGACAAUGGGCGCAAGCCUGAUCCAGCCAUACCGCGUGGGUGAAGAAGGCCUUCGGGUUGUAAAGCCCUUUUGUUGGGAAAGAAAUCUUUCAGGCUAAUACCCUGGGAGGAUGACGGUACCCAAAGAAUAAGCACCGGCUAACUUCGUG
rnacentral:rRNA from 1 species